rnacentral:rRNA from 1 species
AUUGAACGCUGGCGGCAUGCCUUACACAUGCAAGUCGAACGGCAGCGCGGGCUUUGGCCUGGCGGCGCGAGGGGAACGGGGGAGUAAUAUACCGGAAAGUGCCCAGUAGAGGGGGAGAGAGCGGCGAAAACGGGAUUAAUAUACCACAUGACCUGUAGGUGAAAGCGGGGGAGACUUGGAGCCCGCGCGAUAGGAGCGGCGGAUGGCAGAUUAGCUAGUUGGUGGGGUAAAGGCCUACCAAGGCGACGAUCUGUAGCUGGUCUGAGAGGACGACCAGCCACACUGGGACUGAGACACGGCCCAGACUCCUACGGGAGGCAGCAGUGGGGAAUUUUGGACAAUGGGCGAAAGCCUGAUCCAGCAAUGCCGCGUGUGUGAUGAAGGCCUUCGGGUUGUAAAGCACUUUUGGCCGGAAAGAAAAGGACGGUGCCAAUACCGCGGUUGGAUGACGGUACCCGAAGAAUAAGCACCGGCUAACUACGUG